rnacentral:rRNA from 1 species
CUACGGGGGGCUCCAGUUAGGAAUAAUCUACAAUGCGCGCAAGCGUGAUAGUUUGAGCCAGAGUGUUUUUCUAUUUGAAAAGCUUUUGCCGAAUGUAAAAAGUUCGGCGAAUAAGGACUGGGUAAGACGAGUGCCAGCCGCCGCGGUAAUACUCGCGGUCCAAGUCGCAGCCAUUUUUAUUGGGUCUAAAACAUCCGUAGCUUGCUUGAUAAGUUUCCUGUGAAAUCCGGCUUCUUAAGAGUUGGGCGGGCAGGAAGUACUGUUAAGCUAGAGACUGGGAGACGUAAGAAGUACGUUUAAAGUAACGGUAAAAUGUGUUAAUCUUAAACGGACUCACAACAGCGAAGGCAUCUUACGAGAACAGUUCUGACAGUCAGGGAUGAAGGCUAGGGGCGCAAAGCGGAUUAGAUACCCCGGUAGUC